rnacentral:rRNA from 1 species
UACGUAGGGGGCAAGCGUUGUCCGGAAUCAUUGGGCGUAAAGCGCGUGUAGGCGGCCCGGUAAGUCCGCUGUGAAAGUCGGGGGCUCAACCCUCGAAUGCCGGUGGAUACUGUCGGGCUAGAGUGCGGGAGAGGCGAGUGGAAUUCCUGGUGUAGCGGUGAAAUGCGCAGAUAUCAGGAGGAACACCGGUGGCGAAGGCGGCGCUCUGGGCCGGUACUGACGCUGAGGAGCGAAAGCGUGGGGAGCAAACAGG